UUUCAGUAAUCACCAUCACAGAGGGAAGGGAAACAGCCACCCCACCGCCUGAGAGGCCAGGGCACCUCUUUGCUGAAAUUCCAGCAUCUUUCCCUCCUGUUUCAUAAAGGAUCAACAACAGCCAGGCAUAGUCAUUCCUAACAACUCACUGGAUGGCAAGCAGGAAAAACAACCACAAAGCCAGAGCUUUAGAUCAGACUCAGCUCUGUCUCAAAUGUUCCUGGUUUCUUCCUCCUGCAAACAGUUCAGUUUGUGUCUGCAAGACUCUGCUGUACUACCUGGUGGAAGGUACCUGGAUAUGGUGUUAGCUGAUAACACAGAGCAGCGACAAAUAAUGCCAUUAGACCAGAUUGUGUUUCACCUGCUGGAGAGGAAUGGUGCUUAGAAGUCUGUAAAAGUUGACUGAGAGAUUACGUGCUUUUAAUUAUUAAGAAGUUAUAUAAAACUCCUCCCCAAAUCCAUUUAAUGUUCCUGUAAUCUAUCUUCUCAAACGUGACAAGUUCACCAGUCUACCUCGGGUCUCUGCUGAAGUUGUGGGGUGAAAAGUUUUGGCCCUGAGAGCUAUUUACGAGAUAGGACCAUGGGGAUUUAUUGCAGGGUGAAGCAUACCGAUGCAUUAUCCUCCCAGUUUAAUGGCAGUGUAGUAUUUUUUCAUGACCUUUUAAAGUGUAAUUGUUUGCUGCAGGCAGUGGGCUGAUGGCUAUACCACCACAACCGAACAACAAAACCGGAGUUGCUGAAGGGGCUUGGCUGAAAAAUAUUGGCUAGUCUGACAAUAAACUGCAGUCUGCACUAAACUGCAUCGGCACAGCAGGCCUCCAGCUCAAUAGGUCCAAAUGCAAAUUUAGACAAACUGAACUCUCCUUUCUGGGGCAUACAAUUUCACAGGCUGGACUAAAACCUGAUCCAGAUCAUACCCUGGCAAUUUCAAAUGCUCUUCCUCCAACAGAUU